rnacentral:rRNA from 1 species
UUGGAGGGCAAGUCUGGUGCCAGCAGCCGCGGUAAUUCCAGCUCCAAUAGCGUAUAUUAAAGUUGUUGCAGUUAAAAAGCUCGUAGUUGAAUUUCGGGAUCAGAGAGUCGGUCGUGCCUCGGUACGCACUGGUAUUAUUGGUUCCUACCUUCUGAAGAACCGCGAUGUCAUUAAUUUGGUGUCGUGGGGAAUCAGGACUGUUACUUUGAAAAAAUUAGAGUGUUUAAAGCAGGCUUACGCUUGAAUACAUUAGCAUGGAAUAAUGAAAUAGGACGUUUGAUUCUAUUUUGUUGGUUUCUAGGAUUGACGUAAUGAUUAAUAGGGAUAGUUGGGGGCAUUAGUAUUCAAUUGUCAGAGGUGAAAUUCUUGGAUUUAUUGAAGACUAACUACUGCGAAAGCAUUUGCCAAGGAUGUUUUCAUUAAUCAAGAACGAAAGUUAGGGGAUCGAAGACGAUCAGAUACCGUCGUAGUCUUAACCAUAAACUAUGCCGACUAGGGAUCGGAUGAUGUUAAUUUUUUAAUGACUCAUUCGGCGCCUUACGGGAAACCAAAGUGUUUGGGUUC